UACGUAUGGUGCAAGCGUUAUCCGGAUUUACUGGGUGUAAAGGGAGCGUAGACGGAUAGGCAAGUCUGGAGUGAAAACCCGGGGCUCAACCCCGGGACUGCUUUGGAAACUGUUUAUCUAGAGUGCUGGAGAGGUAAGUGGAAUUCCUAGUGUAGCGGUGAAAUGCGUAGAUAUUAGGAGGAACACCAGUGGCGAAGGCGGCUUACUGGACGGUAACUGACGUUGAGGCUCGAAAGCGUGGGGAGCAAACAGG
rnacentral:rRNA from 1 species